UCGAGGAUCUUCGGCAAUGGGCGCAAGCCUGACCGAGCGACGCCGCGUGCGCGAUGAAGGCCUUCGGGUUGUAAAGCGCUGUCGAGGGGGAGGAAAGUCCGCAAGGAUCUGACCUAUCCCUGGAGGAAGCACGGGCUAAGUUCGUGCCAGCAGCCGCGGUAAGACGAACCGUGCAAACGUUGUUCGGAAUCACUGGGCUUAAAGGGCGCGUAGGCGGACUCUCAAGUCGGUGGUGAAAUCGUUCGGCUCAACCGGACAAGUGCCGCCGAUACUGGAAGUCUCGAGGGAGGUAGGGGUCGAGGGAACUGGUGGUGGAGCGGUGAAAUGCGUAGAUAUCACUAGGAACGCCGGUGGCGAAAGCGCUCGACUGGACCUCUUCUGACGCUGAGGCGCGAAAGCCAGGGGAGCAAACGGGAUUAGAUACCCCUGUAGUCC
rnacentral:rRNA from 1 species